AUGAUCCUAUGCUGCCGAGAAAAGCCUCUAGCGAGCUGGUACAUGGCCCGUACCCCAAACCGACACAGGUGGUCAGGUAGAGAAUACUAAGGCGAUCGAGAGAACUGUGGUUAAGGAACUCGGCAAAAUGCCCCCGUAACUUCGGGAGAAGGGGGACCAGUCCUGGUGACGACAUUUACUGUCUGAGCUGGGGUUGGUCGCAGAGACCAGAGAGAAGCGACUGUUUACUAAAAACACAGGUCCGUGCGAAGUCGUAAGACGAUGUAUACGGACUGACGCCUCCCCGGUGCUGGAAGGUUAAGAGGACCGGUCACCCACUUCGGUGGCGAAGCUGAGAAUUUAAGCCCCAGUAAACGGCGGUGGUAACUAUAACCAUCCUAAGGUAGCGAAAUUCCUUGUCGGGUAAGUUCCGACCUGCACGAAUGGCGUAACGACUUCUCUGCUGUCUCAACCACAGACUCGGCGAAAUUGCAGUACGAGUAAAGAUGCUCGUUACGCGCGGCAGGACGAAAAGACCCCGGGACCUUCACUAUAGCUUGGUAUUGGUGUUCGGUUCGGUUUGUGUAGGAUAGGUGGGAGACUGUGAAACUCGCACGCCAGUGUGGGUGGAGUCAUUGUUGAAAUACCACUCUGACCGUAUUGGACAUCUAACCUCGGACCAUGAUCUGGUUCAGGGACAGUGCCUGGUGGGUAGUUUAACUGGGGCGGUUGCCUCCUAAAAAGUAACGGAGGCGCCCAAAGGUUCCCUCAGCCUGGUUGGCAAUCAGGUGUUGAGUGUAAGUGCACAAGGGAGCUUGACUGUGAGACGUACAUGUCGAGCAGGGACGAAAGUCGGGACUAGUGAUCCGGCACCGGCAAGUGGAAGCGGUGUCGCUCAACGGAUAAAAGGUACCCCGGGGAUAACAGGCUGAUCUUCCCCAAGAGUCCAUAUCGACGGGAUGGUUUGGCACCUCGAUGUCGGCUCGUCGCAUCCUGGGGCUGGAGUAGGUCCCAAGGGUUGGGCUGUUCGCCCAUUAAAGCGGCACGCGAGCUGGGUUUAGAACGUCGUGAGACAGUUCGGUCUCUAUCCGCCGCGCGCGUAAGAAACUUGAGGAAACCUGUCCCUAGUACGAGAGGACCGGGACGGACGAACCUCUGGUGUGCCAGUUGUUCCACCAGGAGCACCGCUGGUUAGCUACGUUCGGAAGGGAUAACCGCUGAAAGCAUCUAAGCGGGAAGCCUGUUCCAAGAUGAGGUUUCUCACCACCUCA
rnacentral:rRNA from 1 species